GAUGAACGCUGGCGGCGUGCCUAAUACAUGCAAGUCGAGCGAACGGACGAGAACUUUGCUUCUUUGAUGUUAGCGGCGGACGUGUGUGUAACACGUGGAUAAUCUCUCUAAAAGACUGGGAUAACUUCGGGAAACCGGAGCUUAUCCCGUAUCAUCUUUUGAUCCGUAUGGUUCAAAAGUGAAAGACGGCUUUUCUGCUACUAAUUGAUGGUUCCGCGUUGCAUUAGCUAGUUGGUAAGGUAACGGCUUACCAAGGCAACGAUGCAUAGCCGACCUGAGAGGGGGAUCGGCCACACGGGAACUGAGACACGGUCCAGACUCCUACGGGAGGCAGCAGUAGGGAAUCUUCCGCAAUGGGCGAAAGCCUGACGGAGCAACGCCGCGUGAGUGAUGAAGGUCUUCGGAUCGUAAAACUCUGUUAUUAGGGAAGAACAUAUGUGUAAGUAACUGUGCACAUCUUGACGGUACCUAAUCAGAAAGCCACGGCUAACUACGUG
rnacentral:rRNA from 1 species